GACAGAUGGGUGGAGAAGGGACAGAUUAGCAUAGGAAGAGGUAGCCACCCGCCUGGAACCAGGUCAUCUCAGCUAUCUGACAUACAGAUCUUCCAUAUCUUCUGUUAUUCCUGCGCUGAAGUAACGGUUCGUGUGGAGGAGAAUGGUCUUCCUUCUUGGAAGUUCAAGUCUGGGCAUUGCAACAACCCUAUACUCGUUUUCUGCUAAUCACAACCACAGGCAGCUAUGAGGUAUGAAGGCCCCCCAAACAACUUGUACUGUGUGGAGAAAAAGUCAGCGUUAUCCAAAGCAGUCACUUACCAUUUUAAUUUAUUUAUUUUUAUUUUCCCCUCAACCCUCCGCUUUUAGAUAUCAGUGAUAUCACCAAAUACAGUAAUGGAAGUUCCUCAGGUGCCUGCUAAUCCAUACAGAAUAUAUUCACCUGAAUGAGAAGGAUGACCUUUCUCAUUGACAUGUUUAUCUUGAAGGUGGCAACAAAUCUUUAAUUAUUUAAACACUGCUUGUAUAAUCUGAUUUAGCACUUAUCUGAGUCAUGCAAAGUGCAGCAGGAAUUUUAGAAGAAAGCGAAGAGUACAUUACAUGAGAAUCAAUCUUAAUUUACAUCCUCAUAAUCAGGCCUUUAAAAGCAGAACAUGGCCCUUGUUUAACAUACAGAAAAGCAUUCUCUAUACCUUUGGGAAUAACAUUUCUUUAUUUCAUGGUGAUUUUUUCCUUGUUAAGGCUUGAUCGUGCUCCACCAAAUCUAGGAUGUUUUGGAAGUAAACUUCACUUCUGAGGAAUCAUCCAUACAUAUUUUCAGGUCUUUCUUGCAUACUCCCUUACCCUCACAACCACCGGUGAUAUUUGACUACUGAAACACACAAGGAGAAAGAAAAAUGCGAUUUCUAUCACAGGAGGAAACAGAAUGACCCAAUCCUGCUCUGCAGAGCACCUAAACGCCUGACUGCAAACACAGGGGCAAGCGUUUCAGGGCUUGACCUCUCUGUAAGGUCAUCCUGCAAAAAAAAAAAAGAAACAAAAUAGUUUUUGCAUGUUUGUGUGAGAAAUACAGUGAGUUCUCUCUCUUUAAAGUCCUGACUAGGGGGUAUAUGCUUUCUUUUUUUGUACAUGCUUGCACACUUUGCAUGCGAUGGCCGCUUUCAGAUUUGCAUGAAUGUGUGAUGCACUAACGGUUGCUAUAAGACAGUCCCCUCACUUUCCCAUGGUCCUAUUUUGGCAGAUACAAUAAAAGAAUCACUCUUUUCAUCACAACUUGUACAACCUAAGGAAAAAUUUGUAUUUUUUUAACACUUCAGAGAUAUGCACCAGCAAAACCAGCAUCAAAUGAAUGAACCACAGGGUGGUUAUGAAUAGAUCGUAUUGAGGAUUCUGCCAAAAGUUGUUCUGCCAAAACCAGAACCUUACUCCAAAUCACUUGAAAGAACAACAAAGCUCAGGACAACCAGAUAAACGUAUACUUACAGUGCCUUGUCCUAGUCCCUCCCCUGCAAAUCAAAAUAAUAUCUCAGUGGCUGAUUUGGUGUACGUGGGAGCUGUGGGGCUUAGCUGGGCUGGUCCCUGACACGCAGCCAGCGGUGUUUGUUCCUGCAGAGCACAAAGCCUGAGGUGUGCAGAAUGAAAACAGGCAGCAUAAGGUUAUUUGCUUGCUCCUCCACAGAAACUCACUGCUUAGAACAUUUGGCCGGGCUGUGCUUAAAUAUAAUUCAUGUUGCAUUUGAAUGACACCACAAAUAGAGUAAAUGCUAAAAUAUGACAGCCUAAACAGCUCAACAGUUCCAAAAUCAAAACAGACUAAAAUACUUCCAAAUAUUCUUGCAAGCAGGAAGGAAAAGAGAUGCUGAGGCAUUACCUCAGCCCUAUUUUAUCUAUCAGUGACCUGACUCAGACAAAACCUGUGCUGAUGUGCCCGUGCUCUCCCCCAGAGCCCUGUGUGCUGCCUGCAGUCCCGCCAGCCAGCCCGGCCCCGGCUCCGGACUGCUUGCACGCCGUGUGCGGGGGCCUGGCAGGAGAGAUGCUGAGGUUGCUGUAACAAGCACGUCAUGUAGUGGCACAUUUUAAAAACAGGUCUAACCAGACAAUGCACAUAAUAACAAAAAUUAAUGCUGUCCAACCAGCACUGGCUUCCCUUCUAGUACCUGACCCACUUCAAGGUUGCUGGAAUAAUACAUGGAAUAAUAAUGAAGUCCUUAACAGGCUAACUCAAGUCUCAGUUCAAGUGCAAAUUCAUGGCUGUAAUGUGUGCCUUUGACAGGCAUUUUGCACAAUAUGACUGCAAAAUACCUUGGCAGACUGAUGGCCUGUAAUUCCCCAGUACUGCAGCUCUUCCUAUGGCAGCAGUUGCUGCAACUACUGCGCAGACUGUUUUGGUUCUUUUUUGUGCCCUACGCCAUGGUCUCUGUCAAACAAGGACUACAACAGUGCAGUGUAAGUGCACAAAUGCCUGUGUCCUCACUACUGUGCUGCAAUCACCCUGAGAAAUGACAGGCUCUUGUGUUAGCCCCAUUUUCUAGCUGUGACUCCACUGUCUCACUGUCAUGUGGAGAGUUUGUACAGGCUUUCAGCAGCAUGACAUGAGAUUUGGUCAGAACAAGUGGUUUGUGCUCACAUUACAAAAAAAAAUAAAAAUAAAAAUCCAUGCUACAGCAGUUGCAACCAACAGUGAAAGCUGCAGUGGUGUGGUAAGACAAAUGGUUCAGGUUCAGAAAUUUUUCUUACCGCUUCAUUUUAUCUGCUCUUAGAGGGGAACAAGCACGUACACAACGCAUCAGAAGAUGGCCUGAAAGAGACAGAUGCUUCAAAACACUCAAGGCAAAUUUUCAGAAAAAAAAAGCUUCUGUUACAAACCACAGAAAAAAAUAUUGUGCACCACCCCACGUGAAAGUUAAGAAGCCAUACCAGUAGCACCAUGGUGCACUGAUGCAUCAAAAGGUUGGGGGGUCCUAAUCCUGGUGGAUAAAGCAUCUGGAAAGUGGUUGACAGGGUAAUUAUAUUCCUGAGCAGUCAGGUAAAGCCUGAGUCUAAACAGGGCAUGUUUUGUCGGACGAGCUAAUGCCACUUGCUUCCAAAGCAGGAGCCCCAGAUUUACUGAGGUGCUCACUCGGCAGCACUGCCCGCAGCAGACCCAGCGGGCAGCGAAGCCGCUCGGUGGCACUCGCCGACCGGACUGCGGUGCUGGCAGGGAAUACCUGCUCCGGGGGGGCCGACAGAUCUUUUUUCUCCUGGGAUCCUGUUUCUCAGUACCAACUCAGCUUCUUUGGGAGUCAAAGAAGUCGCUUUGAGAGGUCCUUCACACUGCCAUGGAAAGCCUCGGGGAGCAACGUGAUGGAUCUUCAGUCUGGGCUCAGUUCAAUAUGAUCCUGCCAUGCCUAUCUGGGAGUGGAGGAAUAAAAAAUCCUGCAAAUUGCUUACCUUUAAUCUUCUCCUAUUUUUUUGAUUCUUCUAAUUGAAGAGUUAUAACAACUACAGGAAGGUGCGUGCUCUCUUCAGAGACCUUUGUCAACCAGUAAUACAGAUUCAGUUAUAUGAUUCAUUACUUU